GGCUUGCUAGCUCAGUCGGUUAGAGCGUCGUGCUAAUAACGCGAAGGUCGUAGGUUCGAUCCCUGCGCAGGCCA
rnacentral:tRNA from 2 species